rnacentral:rRNA from 1 species
AUUGAACGCUGGCGGCAUGCCUUACACAUGCAAGUCGAACGGUAACGGGCCUUCGGGUGCCGACGAGUGGCGAACGGGUGAGUAAUACAUCGGAACGUGCCCGAUCGUGGGGGAUAACGAGGCGAAAGCUUUGCUAAUACCGCAUACGAUCUACGGAUGAAAGCAGGGGACCGCAAGGCCUUGCGCGGACGGAGCGGCCGAUGGCAGAUUAGGUAGUUGGUGGGAUAAAAGCUUACCAAGCCGACGAUCUGUAGCUGGUCUGAGAGGAUGAUCAGCCACACUGGGACUGAGACACGGCCCAGACUCCUACGGGAGGCAGCAGUGGGGAAUUUUGGACAAUGGGCGCAAGCCUGAUCCAGCCAUGCCGCGUGCAGGAUGAAGGCCUUCGGGUUGUAAACUGCUUUUGCACGGAACGAAAAGCCUUCUUUUAAUACAGGAGGGUCAUGACGGUACCGGAAGAAUAAGCACCGGCUAACUACGUG